UUCUUGGUGUAUUUUUUAGUAUAAAAUUGAAACGCAGAAAUGGAAGAUUCAAGCGUUGUGCAAUGCGAUUCAACAGUGUCGUGUCGAGAGCCAUAAGAAAUUACUAACAGCUCAACACAAAUUCGAAGAAAAAGUGCAGUCGUUCUAUGCUGAAGAGACAAACAAUAAGUUUGGUUCGACUUCGAACAAAUGGUCGCCGCUACAAACUCAUGAUAAAAAUGGAAUAUCAUUUUUAACAGAUCCAGCAGUUAAAGGUUCAUCGAACAAGUUGCCAAUUUUCAAUUACAACCUGAAGAAAUUGCAAGUGUCUUCACCUCAAGUGACUCAAGUCACAAGAAUUAAAAAUAAGCUGAUAAUUCAAAAAUCUAAAGACAAUUGAUCCAUACGUAAGCUUUUUUACUUUUCUGUGUGUUUUAUAUGAGCACAGAGGAAAUUUGGCCUUACUGUACAUGCUGCCGGGCCCUUCUAAUUACUGUGUUGUCAACUGAUUUAUUAUAUAUUUUCUCUCUCACUCUG